AGAGCCGAGGGCCUGGUGGGCUGGAGGCAGGACAACAUCUUUGCCGGCCCUGGCGUUGGGCUCCCAUCUGCAGGACCGUUGACCCUCACUUCCCGCGGCUGGCCAUGCGCAGGGAGCUUUUCAGCCGCUGAUGUGCUCAACCUCCAGAAAAACAGGAUGUGCGCUCUCAGAUCUGACUAAGCCGCGAGAUGCAAAGUCCUUCUGCACCCCGCCCCAGCCCAGCUCCCCAGCCGCUACCGCCCGCACGUUGCCUUCCCACAGCGGGAUGCGCUCAGCCUCCUGGUGAUUCCACCGGGCUGCCUGCGCCCUCUGCUUCAUUACCAGCUGCGCCCAGCAAGGUAGACUGCGUGCCUAAACUGUUUCAUGAGGGUUUCAGAUUCAUGAUGAGGAGACAGCCACAUCCCCGGGUGGCUGAAGAGGAUUACCAUCAGCCUAGGAAAGGAGAAUGGUUGAGGGACGCUGCCUGUAGGAGGCACGUAGGGUCCUGGAGCCCCCAGGCCGCUGUGGCCCCCUGCAGAGAGUCUCUCCAGAGGGCGAUGCCCCGCCUCUGUCCCUGCCCACUCUCACCCAGUCUCUUGCUAUUUGUUCCUGCCUUAAGUCCCCACCAUGUGCAAUGAAGGAAACAGAAACAGAAAAUGCAAAUCAGAAGCAACUCUGCUCAAGGUGGACAGUGGAGAACUGGAUACAAAAUGGAUUAUCUACCUCUUUUGCAUGGAGCCAGUGUCCAUUCAUUCAUCCAACAGGUACAUGGGAUACACACUGACAAAAAAAAGAAACAAAAAUCUCUGUCCUCAUGGAGCUUACAUGCCGACUCUUCCAAGCUUUGCCUCGUGGUAGCAAGAUGGUUGCUGCAGUUCCAGGCAUCAAAUCAGGUAGGACAACACCCUAUAUUUACAGGGCAUCUCUUCCAAUGUGUUUCUUUAUUAGAAAGGAUAAAGAUUUCCCCUUGUAUCUCAUUGGCCAAAAUUUCUUCACUUAUUUCUUUCUAAAGCAAUUACUUUAGGCAAAUGGAGUGGUAUUUCCACAGUUAGUUUAUGCUGUUCAGAAUUUACCUUUUUAUGGAAGCUUAAAAAAGCACUGACAUGAGGCACCCAAGACCUGGGGUGCUUGCAGUCAUAGAUACAGUUUUCUAAACUCUUUGGGUCAUUCUAGUUCAUUCAACAGCCAGAGUUGAAGCUGGUGCUCAGAUGCUCUGCAUGACACAUUUUAGGGUUGAGGGGUUGAGAAGGUUUGAGUUUCCUUGUAGACCUGCUUAAUUUCAUUCCUGAACCUGGGAUAUCCCUCAGAAGGAGCAGGCCCAUCUGUUGAGGCCUCCAGACUAUCCUCUUUGGCACUGGUGGCUAGACCAGUGUCCUAGCAGGGCUACCCCCCGUGCCACCCCAGGAAAUCCCCGAUGGCCCUCCUCUCAGCUGCGGACACCCAGCCCUUGCUCAGGGUACCUGGCCGAAUACAGUCCCCAGCAGUUUGUCCAGCCUUCCCUCAGUCCUAUUUGGUUCUUUGUUUUCUUCUUUUUAAAAUUAAAUCUCUCCUCCAAAAUCAUAAAAAUAUAUGUGUUUAUUUGUGUAAAAAUACACGUGCAACCGCGGAAACAGCACAAGGACGCCUGCACAAAGAAAGAGUCGGAUGAUCUUUCCCUGCCACCUCCAUCACCCUUCCUUCCAGGAGACCAGGCCCCUUCUGCUCACUGUCUCUCUCCAUCACCAGUGUCAGCAGGCCCCUGGCCCACCCUGGGGGUCUCUGUGGGGGGAGUGGGGAGGAACAGGGGGGAUGGGCAGGGGGUCAGUCAGAAUCAAAGAAAUGGGAGGGCUUAAUUCAUACCCCACCAUCUUUUCUCUUAACUCUUCAGUUCAAAAUAAUUUUAAACUUUGAGAAAAGUUGUAGGAUUAGCACGAUGAAUUCCCAUAUAUCUUCCAUCCAUGGAUUCUUGACAGUUUUGCUAACGAUCCUAACAAUUUCUUUUUUUUCCCCAGCUUUAUUAAGCUGUAAUUGACACAUAAGAUGGUAAGCUGCUUAGCGGGCACAUCGUGCUGGUUCCGUAGAUGUGCCCGUGGCAAUUCCUGUGAUAUUCCGAAGAGUCCGGGAGCUGGCCCGAGCCACACGUGGGCCCCCGUCUCGUAGGGCUGGUCCCCUCUGACCUGGAACGCUUCCUCGGCCUUCCCUUGACCUUCCUCACAUUGACUUUCUUAGAGGUUACAGAGCAGACACGUUGAGGAAUGUCCUCCUCUGAGGCUUGUCCAGCGUUUCCUCAUGCUCAGAUUCAGGUUAUACACACUUUUGGCCAGAAUAUCACAGGAGUGAGGGUGUGUUCUUCCCAUCGCAUCCCAUCCGGUGGCGUGUGAUGUCAAUUUGUCCAUCACUGGUGGUGUUUGCUGUUGACCCCAUCACUAUGGUGCCUGUUGGGUUUAUUCUCUGUAAAGUUACUUUUUCCUCCUUUGUAAUUAGUGAGUAACCUAUAGGGAGAUGCUUUGAAAUUAUAUAAAAUUCCAUUCCUCAUCCCAAUUUUAUCUAUGAUAUUUAACAUCCAAUAAUUUUUCUGACCUGAAAUUAUUAUAACUGUGAUGGUUACCAUACAUCAAUUCUCUUCUAAAAAUUUUUUUUACAUUUGCCCAUUGUGCUGUAAGAGCUUUCUCUUCUCCCCCUUAUUUAUUCACAUUUUUGCUUAUGUCAGUUUACACUCAUGAACUCCUAUUUUAGGGUUAUACUUCUUAGCUAUCAUUAUUAUUUUGAUCCUAUGUUAUCCCAGUAUUGCCAGUGGGAGCUCCUGUGCGUGGGCUUCUGUGUUCUUUUAACAUCUCCAAGUCGUUCACUGAGCACUUCCAUAUUUUCUGGCACAAAAAGAUGCUCCAGGCUUAUCUUGUUCUUUAUCUGCCCCAGCUCUGUAAGCAUCAGUCAUUUUCUCUAAGGACCUCGGUCCCUUUAGUGCAGAAUGGUAGUUAGAAGCCAAGAUACGGGUUUUGUAUGCACUGAUUGCCACUGGGCUGUCACUAUCCCCAGACCUCUCAGUGUAUCAAACUACGACAUCUGUGCAUAGGUACACACACACAUCUGUGUCUACCUUUCUCUGUCUAUAGUUUGAAAGCUGUGACUUCACACUAGGACCUCCUGUUCCGGUGCAGUGCCGUGGAGGUCACUCUAGCCCCCUGUGUUUGUACCUUCCUCCCCAUCAGUGAGAAACCUGUGCCCAUUGGUUUCAUCCAUUUCCCUGUGUAGCCACUGGCCCGAUCCCGGCAGUGCCUGUCAAAGCCUCCCUCACGAGGUGCCACAGCCUCCACACUCCCUGAGGCUCCACGGCUGCCCCGCUUGGGGCUGCCCCAUGCUGAUAUGGGCACGGUCUCCGCUGCCCAGGCUGCAUCUCUGGUUGCUCCUUGUUCUUCAUUCUGACCUUUAUUUACUGCUUGCCUGGUUCAGACUACCAGGGUGUGUGGCGAGGGGGGCCUGAGGGAGAGCAAAGGAAGUGGAAGUGGGUCCCAGCACCACAGAGAGGGAGGAGAGCCACCCCCUCAGAACCACUCUCCCUUCCGCUUGGCCUGUCAGUUCCUCGCGGCCCACAGAGCAGCGAGUCACAUCCCAGGUGACCCAGCAAAAGCAGGCUGUUCACCAGCAGCAUCAUCUCUGUUCUGACACCUGGGGAUCUUCUGGAGGGGCAGGAGCAGAGAUUGCACCCCCACACCGACUCACAGCUGCUGAAGCUGAGCUGUGGGCUCUCCCUCCCUCCACCCUUCUCUCCUCAUUUUCUGUCCUCCUCUGAUGAGGUCUUGGUCUAAGGCCAGAAGAGCUCUGGACCAGCAUCCCAGCCUGAAGGUUUUGAAACCCAGGGACAUGGCAGAGGCUGAGCUUGUGUGCAUUGCUGGCAGAGGGUCCCAGCCUGAGCAGGGCGUGGGGAGCAGCUGCAAGUCCCUAACAGCUUCCUUCGGGUGGGCACUUCUGCCCUCCUGCUUGUGAAGCCAAAAACCUGUGCUGGGGCAGCCCCACUCUGAGCAGAAGGGACUAAAUGGAAGCAGAAGGGAAAGGCCGCACAAGUCAGGGCCCAGAGGCUGCUCCUGCCUGCACUUUGGCGAAGGACUAGGAACUGUCACAAGCACAGGCAUAUUCAUCCCAAGGCCCCAGGGCACUUCCACCGCUGUCAGCUCAGCCCUUGAGUCCUCACCUCCACUGGGUGGCUGGAACAGGAGGGGGCUCAUUCCCCUUCACCAGGCCCCAGAAUGCCCAGCUCUACGCAGAAGAAAUCCUGGGUCCCUAUUCAUUUGAGCUUGUACCCAUGGCUAAGCAUGUCAAAAUAGCUUCCCAGUUCAGAAUGUCUGCUAAACUGUGUAGGGGAGGAAAUGAGGAUCAGAGAGGUUAAGUGAUGUGCCUAAGGAAACACAGCUAGAAAGUAGCAGAGCUGCAAUUUAACCCUUCAGGUGUCUCUGAAAUCAAGGGUCUUGGCCCUAUUCUCAGCUGAGUUAAAUGAACUAGCAAACACUGGCAUUUGGACUUAGAAAGUCAGGCCGUAGCAGGUUCUGUGACAGGAAGGAGGCCCUAUUUCUAAGACAGGUGCCAAAGCAGGAAUCUCCAUUGGGGGAGGGGGGUGUUGGGAUGAGGGGCAGAGUCAGGGCCGUCCUUCACAGCCUGAGUGAAUUCUCUGCUGGUUUCCUUUCCCGGUUUCCCCAUACAGCUCCUUCAUGCGGCUUCACUGCCCAGCCCAAUGUCCACCUCUGAGACGGCGCGGGCUUUCCCAGGGCCAGCUGGGUCUGGGGGGAGCGGUGGGGAAUGGGAACACUCCAGAAUGACGCAGAGGCACCCCUUCCAGCCAGUCCCCUGCACACACAGGUCUUCUCUGAAGGUGUUUCACGUCUUGCUCCCUGCCGUUGGGACAGCGAUCCCGAGAGGCACGUAGGGCUGGUGGCAGCCGGGCAGGAACCUGCUGCAGAUUCCAGUUCCUGGGUGCUGUCGGAGCAGCCUCCCUGCGAGGGGGCGAGGGCGGCCCUGGGGGAGAGUGGCUAUGUGGGCCUUACGGGAAUCUGAUGUUCAGGAUUCGCACCUUAUUCCAGGUAACAGGAACAGGGGAAAGGGCCUUCAGCAAGCCGCUUGUGGAAGCCAAAAGUUCCAGAAAAAUCAAAUACGUCGAUCAAAUUAGGAAAGAGGAAAAGGUUUACUGCAUCCAACAGGCAGCUUGGAAAACUUAGCUUUGAUUCCCCGUUUUUCUCCUCCUGCUGAUACACGGAUGAGAGAUGACCAGAUUGAUGGGUAGUGGAUUCUUGAGGACGCGAGACCGGGAGGUGCGCUGGGCGCUGCAGGCUGGGUCCCAACCGCUGCCCUUCUGGGUCCCUGGAGGCCGCAGAGCGGCGGCCGUGGAGAGUCACCGCUCGCCCACCGGGCUGCGGGCAACCGGGAGGCAGGGGGCAGUUAAGGGCAGAGGGCAGGGCGAGGGGCAGUAAGGGGGAGCGGAAGCGAAGGGACUAGAAAAGAAAGCAGAUAAACUGAACGAAAGGCCAACGUUGACUUUGGGCGCGAGAGAAAGAGAGACGGCAAACGGAAGGCGGGGGUCGGGAAGGACGGAGACCGCGGUGAAGGGCAGGGUCCGGAGAAACCGCUCCGACGAGGGGCGCGCGGUGCCAUCCCCUUGUUUGGGCAGAUGCCUGGAUCGGGGCCCGCCUGCUCGCGUCCGGCCCUGGGAGGGGACAGUGUCUGUUUAGAUCUGUGUCUAAAUUUAACCCUGGUCGCCGGGCUCCUGCCCCUCCUCCAUCCUCCCCUCCCCCCACAGCCCG